GCCCAAUAUUGUUAAGAAUGAUGAAUGAUCAACUCAUGUUUCUGGAAAGAGCAUUUAUUGAUCCAUUAGGGUUACCAGACAGACCUUUUUAUAGGCAUGUCAUCUAUGCUCCAAGCAGCCACAACAAGUAUGCAGGGGAGUCAUUCCCAGGAAUUUAUGAUGCUCUGUUUGAUAUUGAAAGCAAAGUGGACCCUUCCAAGGCCUGGGGAGAUGUGAAGAGACAGAUUUCUGUUGCAGCCUUCACAGUGCAGGCAGCUGCAGAGACUUUGAGUGAAGUAGCCUAAGAGGAUUCUUUAGAGACUCUGUAUUGAAUUUGUGUGGUAUGUCACUCAAAGAAUAAUAAUGGGUAUAUUGAUAAAUUUUAAAAUUG
rnacentral:lncRNA from 1 species